CUCCGGGGCCGGCGCGCGCUCCCACCGCGCACAACCCACGAGCGCUCAGCGCCGCGCGCGACGGCCACAGCCGGGUCAGAAAAGUGGACGCCGCACCCCGGGCUUUCUGGGAGCGGAACGCACAGGUCGGCCCCGCGGCCCGGCUCGCCCUCUUCUCGCUGCCCCUGCGCACCGAUUCUCUCCGGGAAUCGUCCACAAGAGCCCGAGUCCGCCCUCUCCUUCCGGCAGCGGCCGCGCCGAGCCCGCGGCCCUGGACGCCCGCCCCACCAAGUGCCGGCGCAGCCCGGAGAAUCCGCCGCCCCAAGUUCGCCCGAGCACUGAGGCAUUUGGCACUUGGCGGACAGCGAGUCGGCUGAAUUUUGUCUCACCUUCAUAUGUUGAAGUCCUAAACGCGAGUACCUCAAAAUGUGACUGUAUUUGGAAAUUGGGUCUUUAAAGAGGUGGCGCUAGUGGUAAAGAACCCGCCUGCCAAUGCAGGAGAUGCAAGAGAUGUAGGUUCGAUACCUGGGUCACGAAGAUCCCCUGGAGUAGGAAAAGGCAAC
ensembl:lncRNA